AUUGAACGCUGGCGGCAUGCCUUACACAUGCAAGUCGAACGGUAACAGGUCUUCGGAUGCUGACGAGUGGCGAACGGGUGAGUAAUACAUCGGAACGUGCCCGAGAGUGGGGGAUAACGAGGCGAAAGCUUUGCUAAUACCGCAUACGAUCUCAGGAUGAAAGCAGGGGACCGCAAGGCCUUGCGCUCACGGAGCGGCCGAUGGCAGAUUAGGUAGUUGGUGGGAUAAAAGCUUACCAAGCCGACGAUCUGUAGCUGGUCGGAGAGGACGACCAGGCACACUGGGACUGGGAGACAGCCCAGACUCCUACGGGAGGGAGCAGUGGGGAAUUUUGGACAAUGGGCGCAAGCCUGAUCCAGCCGUGCCGCGUGCAGGAUGAAGGCCUUCGGGUUGUAAACUGCUUUUGUACGGAACGAAAAGACUCUGGUUAAUACCUGGGGUCCAUGACGGUACCGUAAGAAUAAGCACCGGCUAACUACGUGCCAGCAGCAGCCGCGGUAA
rnacentral:rRNA from 1 species